rnacentral:rRNA from 1 species
GACUCUCGGCAACGGAUAUCUCGGCUCUCGCAUCGAUGAAGAACGUAGCGAAAUGCGAUACUUGGUGUGAAUUGCAGAAUCCCGUGAACCAUCGAGUCUUUGAACGCAAGUUGCGCCCGAAGCCAUUAGGUUGAGGGCACGUCUGCCUGGGUGUCA